rnacentral:rRNA from 1 species
AGACAGCAGCCGCCACGGUAAUACGUAGGUGGCAAGCGUUGUCCGGAAUUAUUGGGCGUAAAGGGAGCGCAGGUGGGACGGUAAGUCCGUCUUAAAAGGCAGGGGCUCAGCCCCUGUAAGGGAUGGAAACUAUCGAUCUUGAGUGCCGGGGAGGAAAGCGGAAUUCCCAGUGUAGCGGUGAAAUGCGUAGAUAUUGGGAAGAACACCAGUGGCGAAGGCGGCUUUCUGGACGGCAACUGACACUGAGGCUCGAAAGCCAGGGGAGCGAACGGGAUUAGAUACCCCUGUAGUCCCUGUCUCUUAUACC